rnacentral:piRNA from 1 species
UGCAACGUAUCUUAAAUGCUGAUUGACGGACC